UUUUAAAAAAAAAAUCUAAAACUAACCUAAUUCUAAACUAUUAGAAACUAAAGAACCCUGAGAAAAGAUUUUUAACAAAGAAAAAUAUGUAAAAAUGAAGAGUUAUCACGGUUCAAUCUACAAAAAAAAAAUUCAUAAGUAUAUUUCAGGGCCAUAAAAGCAAAUUUGAUGGUAUUAAAAUUACAACCAUUCACCACCACCACCAACUGAUAAUGUCGUGGAAUCUAGGCAGCGCAAUAUAAAUUGAAAUGAAGAUAUGCUCAUCAAACCUCCUAAACGAAAAAGAAAGUAGUACAGGAAGAUCCAAUGAAAUAUACCUCCCACAUCACACAGUACAUAUUUCUAUCCUUAAAAAUCAGUUCAAACACCAUAAAGCCAGUUCACAUUUCAACAAAUUCGAGACUCGUGGCCUCUGCUGAUUGGAGGUGUCAGUGGCAUUGCCCUCUCUUUAGUUCUCCUUUCUGCUUAUUAUAAUUUCUUGGAGGCUUCCCAUUUGUUGCUGUUGGAGCUUUUACUUCUUUAUGUUGGUUGCUACCAGAUAUCAUUUGGGCCCAUAAGUUGGUUAAUGGUAUCAGAGAUCUUCCCACUUCGCACAAGGGAAAAGGGGAUUAGUCUGGCUGUUCUUACCAACUUUGCUUCAAAUGUUGUAGUCACUUUUGCAUUAUCUCCAUUAAAGGUUUUAGAUUCUUUACUUUUGUUUUGUUUUUCUAUUCAGGAUAAACUUAUCAUUUUAGUAUGACUGCUCUUGUUCUUUAUAAUCCGCACUGAUUUCUGCUGCAGGAGUUUGUAGGAGCAGAAAACCUUUUUCUCCUUUUUGGGGCUAUUGCUAUUCUAUCACUUCUGUUCGUUAUCUUUUCUGUCCCGGAGACAAAAGGCUUGAGUUUAGAAGAUAUAGAAUCCAAAAUCUUGAAAUGACAGCUAAUCUAAGAUAUUUUUAUGUGAUUGCUGAUAUUUUACUGACUCUCUCACCUUGUGUACGUAUGGAAUUUGAUAACCAUGACAACGUUUUUAGUAGACAA